UUACAUAUUCAGUUAUGGCGUGAUCCAGCGAAAUCCGUUAUACAGUAUUCGUCUAUUUUUUUUCUAACCACACUAGAACACGUCCGAAUGUUCGAUCCAACCUAUAUAACACUUCUCGAGUUUUAGUGCUUCAGAGUUAAACCUAUGAACAACGAUUUCGUUCUCCUUCGAUGUGUUGCGAAAAGGUCUUUUUUUUACAAAUUAAAAUAACUGCAGAACAAAACGGUUUGAGAGAAACUCGACUGCUAUUCAUAUAUUAUACAUAGAUAUAUAAAAUAAUCUGCCUUUUCAGUUGAAUUUUGAUUGAAUUUAUUCGGGUUAGAAAAAAAACAAUAAUAUAUCUACAUACAUUAAAUUCAAAUCUAGUAAAGUCGCUUUUAAUUUGGUAAAUGUUAGUCGUGUGUCGUGAGUUAUUAGGACAUUAAAAUGCCGGUUGUGUAAAUAACCAGUAAGACAGUAAAUAAUAAAUAUCUUUAUAAUAUUUUUCUCUUUUAUAAAACAUAUCUAUAAAGGAUCCUAGAGCACUAUUUUCCCUGCGAAAAAAAGAUCAAUACGUUUAUUAAGUUGAUCGUGUAAUUAUUAUAAUAUUGUUCAUUUAAGUCACUUCUUUUAUUAAAUCUUAAUAAUUUACAAUUUUACAUUUACUAGAAAUGUACACGAGGGAUAAAAAUAUGGCAAUAUGUGUCCUAUUAGCUAUUCUUAAGACUAGAGUUUCGUACUCGAAUGAAGAAACAGGUGGCAUCUACGUCAUCAUUUAAACGGCCCCCCACUUGGUCAGAAUUUCAUGAGGGCAAAAUAUUGUAAGAAUAAUUACCUACUCUAACAUUUGUUUGAAGUGUAAAUCAUUAUUUUUUACGUCGUGCUCUCGUCAAAAACUGACAUUUUAGUACAUAUGUUUAAAAUAUUGGAUAAUACACUGUGUCCAGCGAGAGAACACGCCGAUUCCGCAAAUCCACACAUGGCCCUCAGAUUCUGCCAGUCUUCCAUUAAGUCAUCGAGACCGGUUCCAAUAUGACAGGGUGUCGCGUGGAUGGGGAUGCGCAAAAGAACGGAUUUUCGUCGGGCCGCAGAGUGCAGUUUUCUCGCCGAACAGAUUGUGUCACAGACACGUCCAGUUACCUACACCCAGUGACCAAAAUAUGUCCUUAUAGGUGCUACAUUAUAGUGGCAACAUGAGCAACGAACAUGACAGUGUUAGAGGGGUUUAAAUUGGCCAUUGCAAAGGAUGUAUUAAAUUUUAAUUCAGUGAUAAACCAUUAUUGCGCAAGAACGAAUGAACAAUGAUUCUGAGUUCUGGGCAAUCAUCAUUCUGUGAGUACACAACCAAUCUAUUUCUAAAGAUAUUUCAUAAAUUAUUUUUAAUUACCUAUACUGGCAACUGCUGUCUAUUAGUAAUAAUCAGUAAUCAGUAUGUUAAACUAUUUUUUUCAAAAUACAUCGCUCAUCUUUAUGAUGGUAAUUUUAUAAUUUUAUUAUGAUAUCAUACAUUAUUGUUAUUAACUUUUAGGUUGAUUACCGCAUAGGCGAUGAGACGUGAGAUUUAUGUUGAAUGUGAAAAAUGCUGAUGAAAAAUAGCGGUCACUAUCAGUAGAUACUACAAAUAACCGCAUUUACAAAAAAUGUUAAAGUAUUAAGUAAUGUAGCCAUGUAGGUAAGUUAAUUAUGUAUUUCCGCAAUUUUCAGUUAGAUAAGCAUAUCCCAUUAUGGGUAGGUAGUCGUAGUACGUAUUUGUGAAGAUUUAUUAUUAGGUAACCUAUAGAUUAAAAAUAAUUUGAUUUCUAACGUUAAAAAAUACUUAUAUGGUUAGAUGGAACGAUGUUGGCAAAAUGUCACGAAACAUGUCUUCGAGCAUGACGAGUAUAUUUACACUUUUUAUAAUAUUUAAUAUAUGUUAAACAUUAUAUUUAUAUAUUAUCAU